GACGAACGCUGGCGGCGUGCUUAACACAUGCAAGUCGAACGGGUCUGCCCUGUUUUUUGCGGGGUGGGUCAGUGGCGAACGGGUGAGUAACACGUGAGUAACCUGCCCCUCACUUCUGGAUAACCGCUUGAAAGGGUGGCUAAUACGGGGUGUUCUGGCUGUGCCGCAUGGUGUGGCUGGGAAAGAUUCACUUUUGUGGUGUUUUGGUGGGGGAUGGGCUCGCGGCCUAUCAGCUUGUUGGUGGGGUGAUGGCCUGCCAAGGCUUUGACGGGUGGCCGGCCUGAGAGGGUGGGCGGUCACACUGGGACUGAGAUACGGCCCAGACUCCUGCGGGAGGCAGCAGUGGGGGGUAUUGCACAAUGGGCGGAAGCCUGAUGCAGCGACGUCGCGUGAGGGAUGGAGGCCUUCGGGUUGUGAACCUCUUUCGCCGGUGAAGAAGGUCCUGCUCUUUGUGGUGGGGUUGACGGUAGCCGGGUUAUGAAGCGCCGGCUAACUACGUG
rnacentral:rRNA from 1 species